GACGAACGCUGGCGGCGUGCUUAACACAUGCAAGUCGAGCGGUAAGGCCCUUUCGGGGGUACACGAGCGGCGAACGGGUGAGUAACACGUGGGUGACCUGCCCUCAGCUCUGGGAUAAGCCUGGGAAACCGGGUCUAAUACUGGAUAUGACUCCAUGACGCAUGUUGUGGGGUGGAAAGCCUUGUGCGGCUGAGGAUGGGCCCGCGGCCUAUCAGCUUGUUGGUGGGGUGANGGCCUACCAAGGCGGCGACGGGUAGCCGGCCUGAGAGGGCGACCGGCCACACUGGGACUGAGACACGGCCCAGACUCCUACGGGAGGCAGCAGUGGGGAAUCUUGCGCAAUGGGCGAAAGCCUGACGCGGCGACGCCGCGUGAGGGAUGACGG
rnacentral:rRNA from 1 species